GAAUCUUCCAGGUGCCUGAGGCAGUUUCAGAUCCAGUGGCUGAAGUUAAGCUAAAUUAAGCACCGUUGAAAUGCAGAGUGGGCAGGGAACAGCUUCCCUUCUGAAGUCCUGGCAGUGCAACUGGCUGUGCAAGUUGUAUCAGCCUGUGGUGUACCAGCUUGCAAACUGCACUUGUGGUCAUCUUCUCUGAAAAUGGCCAGAAGGGAACAAGAAAGGAUGGAGAGCAGGAAAACCAGGAGGCAUCUGGAAGGAAGAGAUGUCCAUACGAGGUGCAUAGUGAGGAUGGGCGUCUCUGAGGCUCUUGGAAGGUGUACAUGUGAAAUUGACAAGGACAAAGUAACAACUGAAAUGACUGGGGAGCAUUCAGCACAUGUUUGGAGCUGAGCAGAAAGGAACUCUAUGUUGGACUUUUGAGCAGUGCAUCAGCAGAGAAGACAAGGUGACCCCAGGACCUAGGGGUUAAUAAACUAGUACACAGCCAUUGCCUCCUUGGUGCACACGGCCACUGGCCCAGCAAACCAACUCAUCGUUAUGCAAAGAGGAGCUCUUUCCACUGAGCGCAGUGGCAGUACUCAUGCUACUCAUAAGCAGAGGCUGAGGAAAUGCCACAGAAGAAGGGAUUAUGGGAAUAAAAGGCACAUAUACAUGAACCUAUGGUCAUCCCACAGACCGUCUUCCAUUCACUUUGGAAUACUACUUCCUGUUGCCUAUUAAGGUGACAUCUGAAUUACAAUAUUUGCAGCCUUAGAAACAGUGUUUAUGUCUACAUGCGAAGGAAAUAAAAUGCCGUAAUUAAUUUUCUGCAUCACUGAAAUGGAGCUUCAGUCAAAUGGGGAAGGCAGACAGUGUGAAUGUCAAAGACAGCCAUCCUAGAACCAAGCCUCCAGCACUGUUUAGGAGCAAAAGAGUUGGCCCCACAAAUCCAUCACUUGGCUGGGGAAAAAGCUCUUGAUCAGGAACGUGGUCCCAAGAAGACGACUUGGAGAUUGAGGAAUAACGCAGGCCUGCUAGAGGGGAUGAUGGUGUUCAAGGGUGAGGAUCCUCAAGGAGAGGAGAUAUUUCCCUGCCGUCCUCAGUGAGUAUUGGAUAGAAAGAACUGUCUACAAGCAGGGACAAUGCUGCUGCAGGUGAAUUUAAAGAAGAAAAAAGAAGUUUCACAGUUGGAAAUACUGCUGAGAAACCUGAGAUCUUCAACUACUUACACAGAUGUCUUUGCUCCAAAGUCCUUUCUACUUAGACUACUCUGCAGAGCGCGUGGCUGCUUUAUGCGCCAUCAAUGGGAAGUGGGCACCAACUUGGAGAACACGAGGAACUGCUGCCUUCCUCUUCUCAAAGAAUGUUUUGUUUCCACUAAUCCAGAACAUUUCAGUAUAUUUAUAUUUGGUUUCUCUAAGGUGAACCUCAUCAUCUUUCCAUGUAUGCAGCUGUCAACGGGCAAUCUGGGCUCUUUAACACCUCAGAGAUGUUUUAGUAUUAUUGUCAUUUUCUGUGUCACUGAAUUUUAAAAUCACAAUUUCAUUUGUUGUAGAAUUUAUUGCGUUUAGUUGUCCUCCUUUUCUGAGGCUUAAAGAGUUUUUUUUAUGUCCCGAAAUAGUGACAAAAUCUACUCAGAAGGCCAGAGCUGUUCUUUGUGUCCUAAAUACGUAUGUGAAAAAUAUCAGCUAAUUACUGCUAAAUUAAAAUGCAAAAGAAAUAUCCAUUAUUUUUGGGUUAU